rnacentral:misc_RNA from 1 species
AGGCUUCAAGGAUGGCAACUAACCGAGCAGCAUGGAAGAUCCUUGAGGGCUCUAGGUGAUCAUAGUCCUUCAAUCCAACAGCCUCCGCAGAACAGCGUGCACGACCAUCUGAUACUACUCCAGCCUGAGGUGUGGAAUAUGCUAUCCAUUCUUCAUUUGCACGAACUGCAUCAACCCGAAUUAUUCGUUGCCAUGUAGCAAAAUCUUCUGCAUUGCAAGGCUGUUUCUGGACUUCUGUCUCUGAAGGAGACGAGUCAACCUUGGAAUGCAAUUCGGCUGUAUCAUACAUGCUUCUUAUAGAGAGGAAACUAUGAUUCACAUCAUGAUCUACAGAGGAAUCAGAAUCUGACGACUCAGAGUCGGAGACAUCAUUUGGCUCCAUGGCUCGUUUGGAACUAGAAAAUUCAUCCAACAUUAAAUUGCUGUGACUGUCUGAAUCCUCAACAAAUGGGCUCCGGUCCCCACUAGAGGGGGAUUCCAGGGCACUGACAUCUUCAUAAUCGGGGAAAUCCAUCCCUUCCAUGAGAUUCCCACUGUCUCCGUUGUUUCCGAUUCCACCCGUCACUUUCAUCUUAAAGGUUUCACUAUUGUGUCUCAGUAGUUGGCAGCACUUCCUCCGAAGCAUCACAUAUUCCUUUCUGUUCUUUUUUCUUACAGCGUCUCUUUCUUUUUUGGAACUGUC